GAGAAUGCAGGCAUGAGUAGCGAAAGACGGGUGAGAAACCCGUCCUCCGAAAGAUCAAGGGUUCCAGGGCCAGGCUAAUCCGCCCUGGGUAAGUCGGGACCUAAGGCGAGGCCGACAGGCGUAGUCGAUGGACAACGGGUUGAUAUUCCCGUACUGACGAAAAACCGCCCAAACUAAUCCAGUAAUGCUAAGCAUCUGAAUCCCCUAGAUGGAUCUUCGGGGUGAAGCGUGGGGCCUAGCGUGCGACCCUAUGCUGGUGCGGUUAGCGUAUUAACAGGUGUGACGCAGGAAGGUAGCUGAGCCGGGCGAUGGUUGACCCGGUCUAAGGAUGUAGGGCGAACGAUAGGCAAAUCCGUCGUUCAUGAUGCCUGAGACCCGAUGGGUAGCCCGUAAGGGUGAAAUCAGUGAUCCUAUGCUGCCAAGAAAAGCAUCGACGCGAGGUUUUAAGUCACC
rnacentral:ncRNA from 1 species